GAUGAACGCUGGCGGCGUGCCUAAUACAUGCAAGUCGAGCGAACGGACGAGAAGCUUGCUUCUCUGAUGUUAGCGGCGGACGGGUGAGUAACACGUGGAUAACCUACCUAUAAGACUGGGAUAACUUCGGGAAACCGGAGCUAAUACCGGAUAAUAUUUUGAACCGCAUGGUUCAAAAGUGAAAGACGGUCUUGCUGUCACUUAUAGAUGGAUCAGCGCUGCAUUAGCUAGUUGGUAAGGUAACGGCUUACCAAGGCAACGAUGCAUAGCCGACCUGAGAGGGUGAUCGGCCACACUGGAACUGAGACACGGUCCAGACUCCUACGGGAGGCAGCAGUAGGGAAUCUUCCGCAAUGGGCGAAAGCCUGACGGAGCAACGCCGCGUGAGUGAUGAAGGUCUGCGGAUCGUAAAACUCUGUUAUUAGGGAAGAACAUAUGUGUAAGUAACUGUGCACAUCUUGACGGUACCUAUCAGAAAGCCACGGCUAACUACGUG
rnacentral:rRNA from 1 species